rnacentral:lncRNA from 1 species
CACUCGAAAAUUUGAGACGCAACAAAAGACUUUAUUAAACUGAAAAUAUUACAAAGAAAGCUCUCAACUCUAACAAACACUCAACACACUAUAAGACUUGUAGUCUUAUUUUCUUCUUCACUUCUUGAUGAUUUACAAGGCGGCUAGAGUACUUGGGUAUUUAUAGCAAGCUAUAUGACAUACACACCACACAUUUAUUUAAACUAAUUAAUUCCCUACCACACAAAGUGCUUUGCAGCAAACUUGCCACAAAAUAUCAUCUAUUCCACACAUGUUGAGAAGUUUCUACGAGCUUCAACAAAUUGCUAGAGAUAGGACUUGGGCUUUAUCUUUGGGCUUUGUAAGAUAACUUGCGUUGGAAUUUUGGGCUGACAUUGAUUCUUAACAUAUUCGUUUUCCUAUGUCUCACACAAA